CAUCCUCCAUGUUCGUGGAAGGUAGGACAAGAAGUAAUCGACUUAGUCUGCAGGAAGGGAGAUUUAUAUUAGAGAUUAGGAAAUAUUUCUAACUAAAAAGGUAGUUAUGCUCUGGAACAGGCUUCCAAGGGAGGUUGUGGAAUCCUCUGCACUGGCGGUCUUUUAGAACAAGUUAAACAAACACCUGCCAGGGAUGGUCUAGGUAUACUUGGUCCUGCCUCGGCACAGGGGGCUGAACUAGAUGACCUCUCAAUAGGGUUGCCAGCAUUGCAUUUCAAAAAUAAAGGACGGUUUCCUUAGCACCCACACUGCACCCCACCUCCCGAUAUCAUCAUCAUCAGUAUUAGUAAUAAUAAGCAGUAGUGACCUACAUUCGCCAGGGAUAUUUCUUGCUGCUUUUUGCAGCACUCAGCAAUUCCCGAUCUUGUUGUACAGAGGUGAAAAAAUAAGGGCUGUCCCUUGUAAUAAGGGACUGUUGGGAGUCCUGCCUCUCAAGGACCUUGCAGCCCUACAUUUCUAUGAUUCCAUUAUUCUAAGUUUUCUGCAAUCAGAAUGACACCGGAUGCUUUAGCCUCUUCUGAUAACAAACAAUUCUCCGAAGAACCUGGUUCCCUACACUACGCUUUCUAAAGCACAAUAAUAGCUUCCUUACCCACUGAAGAGAAGGAGCCCCGUUGGGCAUCUGAAUCUGAACUUUCUCAAAGUUUGGGGUGCUCCUCUCAGGAAUUUGGUAUGGCCACGGUUGUUAUCCAGAUCUGUAUUUCAGUUAGUUAACACUGAUGUACUUGACAUUUAUAUUUAUGUUAUGGUAGGGACCCCAGGCACCUAGAGAUCAUGCUAGGUACACUUAUAUAAAUUGUAAACCUACACUGUGGCACUAUCGCAUAAUCUAAACACACUUAAAUGACUCCAAGAAAAUUACUUCUUCUCUGCUUCCUUGCAAAGGUCUCUAGGUUAUUUGAAUAAUCCAAAUAGGGAUAUCACUAAAAUAAAAUAUGUAAUGUUGUUACUGCUGUAGCACCCAGACACCCCAAUAAGACUCAAGACUCCAUUAUGCUAGGUGCUAUGUGAACAGAGAAACAUAAUUUCUGCUCUAUAAGGAAGUACUAAAAAUGCUUGUCAGAAUGUUUAAAGCUGGGUGCCUUCAGACAGGUUGGUAAAGUCACAUUUUGGCACUUAAACUGAUGCCCUUGCUAAUUUCCUGCUGUUCUCAUUGACUUCAGUGGGUUUUGUGAGACCUCAGCACCUCUCAAAAUCAGACUGAUUUUUAUUCAAAAUAUGAAUUUUGCAACCUAACUUUAGGCACUUUGAACAUUUUGACUACUGUUGUUGUUCUUAGGUUUAGCCCUGUAGCCGCUUCAGCCAGUGUCUGGUUCUAGAUGAAGUCUAGCUAAGCAAGACCAUUCUGUAUUUUUCCAAACCCUGCCAACUUUCCAUAAAUAUUAUAACUUAUAAUAUUGUGAGUCAUGUCCUUUGGCAUGGGUAGGUUGCUAUAUUUAUACAUGGCUUUAUACUUCUUUUGCUUUAUAAAUAAAGUUUAACUGAACAAAUUUAUCUACGAACUUUACUAUGUAUUAAAAAUUCAGCUCAAUAUGUCACUACAAGGGGGUACUUGUUUCUUUGUUUGUUUGUUUUAGUUUGAGUUGAUUUGGGGAGGUGAUCAAGAAAACAAGACUCUUUUGAGCAAGGCAGGUGCUGCGCAAAUCUUUCUCUUUUUUUUUUUUUUUUUUUUUGAGCACCUCAGUUCUGGUCUGUAACAGUCCCUGUUGUUGCAGUGCUGAACACCUUUAGCAGAGCCUGCCAGUUAUAACAAAGGAUGUAGGAGUUUGUGACAUACACAAAUGGAGAUCAGCGGAGGCACCCAUGCUUAUCUUCACUUGACGCCUAAACCAGCACUUGAAUCCAAAGACAGCAAGUGUUCAUCAAGCAUAAACAGUAAAUAUCUCAUCCCAAAAGUGACCUUGGAGACAUGCAGCUGAAAUGAAAACAAUGUUUAACUGCUGUUGGACUGAGUCACACUUUAAUGGAGCUGACACUGAGAGGAAGGUUUUGCAGUGUUUCCUUAAAAUGGAUUUCCUCUGGAUUUGUCUGAUCGCCUCUUGAAGUUUGUUCCAUUGCGAGAUUCCCCUGACUGAAAAAAAUUCUUUGUUCCAGCUCUUAUGUGUUUUGUCCUUGUCUUUGUGAUCCGCAUUGUCCCAGAGGAGUGCAGCCGCUGUGGUGGUUCACAGAUUGAAACUCAGUCUUUGAUGUAGCUGAUCCAUUAACUGCUUUGAAAAUUAGGACCCAGGCCUUAAACUGGCAUCCAGAGCUGAUGGGGGCCAAUGGAGGGACUUGAGCAUGGGCCUGAUAAACUGAGGGCAGCCUAAGCCCUGGAAACAAUGGGCAACUGCAUUCUGUGCCAGCUGGAACCUGUGCAUUUUUUCACAUCCAGUUUUAUGUACAGUCAGAUGCAGUAAUCCAGCCUGGAGAUGAUGAAUUCAUGGAUUCCUCUGGCUAGUUCCUCAUCUGUGAGGGGGAAGGGAUGAAGUUUUUUAGCUAGCUGAAGGUCAAAUAAGGCAGUUUUAGAAGCUGAUACUAUCGGGCCAUCCAAGAUUAAUGAGUCUUCAAAGAGGAUGCUGAGGCCUUGUGCUCCCAUGAUGAAUGGGAGUGGUGAGCCUUUGGUGGAAGGAGACAGUGCACCAGCACUGGUAGCUACUUCCCUCGUGGUGGUGGGUUUUUUACAGCACUGGGAGAGCUCUCUCUGGUGCCAUGACUACAUAGCCACGUUAAAGUGCUUUAACAUUGCUAGUGAAGACAUACCCUUAGUGUCAUCAGCAUACUGUUAACAGCUGAGCCCAUGGUGUCUCACUCUCUCUCCCAGUGACCUCAUGUAGCUAUUGAAGAGAAGCAGGGAUAGUCUGGAUCCCUGCAGGACCCCAUAGAGGAGGGCUGUCAUAAAGAUAAAGGGAAGGGUAACCACCUUUCUGUAUACAGUGCUAUAAAAUCCCUCCUAGCCAGAGGCAAAACCCUUUCACCUGUAAAGAGUUAAGAAGCAAAGGUAACCUCGCUGGCACCUGACCCAAAAUGACUAAUGAGGAGACAAGAUACUUUCAAAUCUGCGGGGGGAAUAAAGGGUCUGUCUGUCUGUGUGAUGCUUUUGCUGGGAACAGAUCAGGAAUGCAGCCUUACAACUCCUGUUAGUUAGUAAGUAAUCUAGCUAGAUAUGCAUUAGAUUUCCUUUUGUUUAAUGGCUGGUAAAAUAAACUGUGCUGGAUGGAAUGUAUAUUCCUGUUUUUGUGCCUUUUUAUAACUUAAGGUUUUGCCUAGAGGGAUUCUCUAUGUUUUGAAUCUGAUUACUCUGUAAGGUAUUUACCAUCCUGAUUUUACAGAGGUGAUUCUUUUACUUUUUCUUUAAUUAAAAUUCUUCUUUU